UUGGGCUCAGCAGCUGAACCUGGCG
rnacentral:piRNA from 1 species